rnacentral:misc_RNA from 1 species
GAGAGAACGUAGCAAAAUGCGAUAAGUAAUGUGAAUUGCAGAAUUCAGUGAAUCAUCGAAUCUUUGAACGCACAUUGCGCCCGCUGGUAUUCCGGCGGGCAUGCCUGUUCGAGCGUCAUUUCAACCCUCAAGCCCCCGGGUUUGGUGUUGGGGAUCGGCUCUGCCCUUCUGGGCGGUGCCGCCCCCGAAAUACAUUGGCGGUCUCGCUGCAGCCUCCAUUGCGUAGUAGCUAACACCUCGCAACUGGAACGCGGCGCGGCCAUGCCGUAAAACCCCAACUUCUGAAUGUUGACCUCGGAUCAGGUAGGAAUACCCGCUGAACUUAAGCAUAUCAAUAAGCGGAGGA